AUUGAACGCUGGCGGCAUGCCUUACACAUGCAAGUCGAACGGCAGCACGGGUGCUUGCACCUGGUGGCGAGUGGCGAACGGGUGAGUAAUACAUCGGAACAUGUCCUGUAGUGGGGGAUAGCCCGGCGAAAGCCGGAUUAAUACCGCAUACGAUCUACGGAUGAAAGCGGGGGACCUUCGGGCCUCGCGCUAUAGGGUUGGCCGAUGGCUGCUUAGCUAGUUGGUGGGGUAAAGGCCUACCAAGGCGACGAUCAGUAGCUGGUCUGAGAGGACGACCAGCCACACUGGGACUGAGACACGGCCCAGACUCCUACGGGAGGCAGCAGUGGGGAAUUUUGGACAAUGGGCGAAAGCCUGAUCCAGCAAUGCCGCGUGUGUGAAGAAGGCCUUCGGGUUGUAAAGCACUUUUGUCCGGAAAGAAAUCCUUGGCCCUAAUACGGUCGGGGGAUGACGGUACCGGAAGAAUAAGCACCGGCUAACUACGUG
rnacentral:rRNA from 1 species